CCUGGUACCUCGAUGCCCAGCCGGACAACCUGGCAACCAGCAGUUCUAGCAGCCUGGUGUCGUGAUGCUGGCCCUAUGGAUCUGGAGGACAGCUGAUAUGGGGACCUGGUAUAACGAUGCCCCUCACGCUGACCGGGUGUCCACCUCUUCAAGCUACCUGAUGCCUUGUUGCACGCAUUGUAGAGCUGCCUCUGAGGCUGCGGAUCAGAAGAUCACGCGCCCUCCACGUUGGUUUUGGUUCAAACAGCGCGGGGAUGGGCAGCCUGGCCAAGUUCCGCUUACUAGCAGGCGAGACCAAGGCGGGCCGCGUCCACGUCGGCACCGCCAGGCCGAGCCUUGUGGCGUCAUCGUGGACCCUCUGGACAGCCCGUAGCUGAUUUUUAUAUGAAGAGCUUGCCAUCAACUUGUGCCGUUGCGGAGCAGCGUGCUCACUGGAAGUGGCGAUUAUGGCGAGCAUGUCUCCACCACGGACUUCGAACGGCUGUCCCUCGACCAGGAACAAGUUGGUAUGUGGUCCGCUGCACAGCCGCUGACCCAGCCUCCAGUGGUCCUGCUCAAACGUCAGCUCUGGAAUCUGUGUAAAAGCGGCCACGUUUAUGUUCACGAUGAAGUGGCCAUUGGCACCAUUGCCCACAAAUAUGGACAACGCGUUGUUACGUGCGCGCACACACACGCGCACACGCAUACGCGCACACACGCAUACGAACACGCAUACGCACACACGCACACACACACAGACACAGGAAACAGCGCUGGCCAUGAGGCCAGAAGACGACAAUGACGACGUGUAAUGCCGGUGACAUGCACGAUGACUGUCAUGUCAAGUUCCGUGAGCCGAACUAAUUUAGUGUUGCCAGGGGCAGUUCCUGGUUAGUCUAAGGAGAGCUGGAGGUGGGGCCGUGGGAGGAGAGAUCAUCGAAAUACAGCACGUAUAGGACCGGGGCUUACCUAGCUGUCCAAUUGGUAAAGGCAUAGGAAAGACAAGCAGUAGAAUGUUCGUUGAACGCCGUAGUUGGGAUGGAUAGCUGGUGGAACGGAAAACUAGACCAAAUUUCAGAAAAGUGUGUCUAAGCAUAACGCGACUGCCCGGCCUUCUUCUGCCUAGGAACGCACUUCUACCGUCCUUGUCGUUCGCUGUACGUCCGUUCUGUACGUCCGCUGUACGUCCGUACGUCCGUGGACGUACGUCCACCUAACAUGACGUAGCCUAACAUAAAGUUAACCUGCUCUAAUUAACCCCAGGCUAUUGUUGUGUGUUCUGGCGCUGGAUUCAGCGUGGAAAAUUAUUCAUCAAGUAUGAAGUAUUAGCGCAUAAGGGCAGGCCCGGUUUACCUGAGCACGUUUAAGUGUUCCAAGUUGCCCGCUGCGCGCAGUAGCAUCAGCUGCGCAUCGCCGUUACGAAGGGCGGGAGCGGAAAAAGGAAGGGAGCAAUGUAUAGCAAGUUUCCACGCUGCCGCUGCCGAAGCACCAAUAGGCAUCGUUUGCAUGUUACUGACGGCACAAACUAAUAAACGUGUGGCAUUCUUCGCAUCUCUUACUACCAACUGCGUUCGUAGACGAAAGAUGGCGGGGCAUUUGUGAUCUAUUGUAAAACGCGCAAUGUGAGUGUCGUUACUACAGGCUCGUCAAGCUGGUGCAGCGAAGUCUGCCGAGGCAACCAGCCUGGAGUGGACUGUCGGAGUUUCGCUUGGUUGAAAGCUAGUUGAGUGUCCAUAGCAAUAGAAAUUAGCGAGACUAAAGGGCUACAAAACUGGUAAUCGGUGUGCCCAGUGUUGCAUUCCUGCACGAGCGUUUGCUGGAAGUACGUAAUUUCUCUGAAGUUUAAAAUGAACUGUUUCGCCUACUUCAGCCUCUUUAUUAAAUUGCUUCGAUAAAUAGACAGUAGCAGGAGAAAAAAAAACGGCUUUAAUUCAAGCACCCUUGUUGAUGUUCCGCUACUGACCGCGUAUGGGUAUCUUUUAUUUGACCAAAUAAGGCAGCCCGAAAACAGUGAAAAUAAUGUUUCUAUUGAAAAUCACGUUUGAGAAAAAGGUGAUCUCGCACUACGUUUGUGAGUUCCACCCGCCGCACAGAUGUGCAAAAUUUUUGAGAGAUUCGCAAGAGUGUUUGUUAUCCGCAUAGUGUUUUCACCAAGCCACCAAGGUGGUUAAGGAGCUUUUUAACCCUGUAAUGCCUAACGCACUUUCUCUAUACUGCGCUGUUUGAGGCGGCAAAGUUCGAAUUAUCGCGAGUGAAAAACAAGUAGCGACAGUAUUAGGCUGGAGCCCAUUCUAGUUAUUGAAUAGCUUAAGAUUUCAAUUGUUAUGUUGAUUGUUGAUUAUCUUCGCUCAUACAUAAU